rnacentral:rRNA from 1 species
CCUACGGGAGGCAGCAGUGGGGGAUAUUGCACAAUGGGGGAAACCCUGAUGCAGCGACGCCGCGUGUAGGAAGACGGUCCUCUGGAUUGUAAACUACUGUCCCCAGGGACGAAGAUGACGGUACCUGGGGAGGAAGCUACGGCUAACUACGUGCCAGCAGCCGCGGUAAUACGAAGGGAGCGAGCGUUGUCCGGAAUUACUGGGUGGAAAGGGAGCGUAGGCGGGGAUGCAAGUUGGGUGUUAAAUCUACCGGCUCAACUGGUAGUCGCACUCAAAACUGCAGCUCUUGAGUGAAGUAGAGGCAGGCGGAAUUCCUAGUGUAGCGGUGAAAUGCGUAGAUAUUAGGAGGAACACCAGUGGCGAAGGCGGCCUGCUGGGCUUUUACUGACGCUGAGGCUCGAAAGUGUGGGGAGCAAACAGGAUUAGAUACCCUAGUAGUC